GGCAGCACGGAGCUUGCUCUGGUGGCGAGUGGCGAACGGGUGAGUAAUAUAUCGGAACGUACCCUGGAGUGGGGGAUAACGUAGCGAAAGUUACGCUAAUACCGCAUACGAUCUACGGAUGAAAGUGGGGGAUCGCAAGACCUCAUGCUCGUGGAGCGGCCGAUAUCUGAUUAGCUAGUUGGUAGGGUAAAAGCCUACCAAGGCAUCGAUCAGUAGCUGGUCUGAGAGGACGACCAGCCACACUGGAACUGAGACACGGUCCAGACUCCUACGGGAGGCAGCAGUGGGGAAUUUUGGACAAUGGGCGAAAGCCUGAUCCAGCAAUGCCGCGUGAGUGAAGAAGGCCUUCGGGUUGUAAAGCUCUUUUGUCAGGGAAGAAACGGUGAGAGCUAAUAUCUCUUGCUAAUGACGGUACCUGAAGAAUAAGCACCGGCUAACUACGUGCCAGCAGCCGCGGUAAUACGUAGGGUGCAAGCGUUAAUCGGAAUUACUGGGCGUAAAGCGUGCGCAGGCGGUUUUGUAAGUCUGAUGUGAAAUCCCCGGGCUCAACCUGGGAAUUGCAUUGGAGACUGCAAGGCUAGAAUCUGGCAGAGGGGGGUAGAAUUCCACGUGUAGCAGUGAAAUGCGUAGAUAUGUGGAGGAACACCGAUGGCGAAGGCAGCCCCCUGGGUCAAGAUUGACGCUCAUGCACGAAAGCGUGGGGAGCAAACAGGAUUAGAUACCCUGGUAGUCCACGCCCUAAACGAUGUCUACUAGUUGUCGGGUCUUAAUUGACUUGGUAACGCAGCUAACGCGUGAAGUAGACCGCCUGGGGGAGUACGGUCGCAAGAUUAAAA
rnacentral:rRNA from 1 species